rfam:Felis catus isolate Cinnamon breed Abyssinian chromosome B2, whole genome shotgun sequence.
GCCUGGGUGGCUCAGUCGGUUAAGCGUCUGACUUCGGCUCAGGUCAUGAUCUCAUGGUCCGUGAGUUCGAGCCCCGCGUCGGGCU